AGGAUUUGGAGAAGGCUGGCAUCACCGUGAUCCAAAUCGAUGAAGCUGCUUUGAGAGAGGGUUUGCCUUUGAGGAAAUCUGAACAUGCAUUCUACUUGAACUGGGCUGUCCACUCCUUCAGAAUCACCAACGUCGGCAUCCAGGACACCACACAGGUCCCCUAUCUCAUCUUCUUGUUUUAAACAUUGGAACUUCUUUUUACCUGAUACCUGCUUGUUAACGAGCUUGUCUUCCUGCAGAUCCACACCCACAUGUGCUACUCCAACUUCAACGAUAUCAUCCACUCCAUCAUCGACAUGGAUGCUGAUGUGAUCACCAUUGAGAACUCACGUUCCGAUGAGAAGCUCCUCUCCGUUUUCAGGGAGGGAGUGAAAUACGGAGCUGGCAUUGGACCUGGUGUCUACGACAUCCACUCUCCUAGAAUACCAUCUGCCGAAGAGAUUGCUGACAGAGUUAACAAGAUGCUUGCAGUUCUUGACACCAACAUCUUGUGGGUCAACCCCGACUGUGGUCUCAAGACUCGUAAGUACACUGAGGUGAAGCCAGCAUUGCAAAACAUGGUGUCCGCAGCCAAGGCCAUCCGCACUCAACUCGCCAGCGCCAAGUG
rnacentral:lncRNA from 1 species